AUUGAACGCUGGCGGCAGGCCUAACACAUGCAAGUCGAGCGGAUGAAGGGAGCUUGCUCCUGGAUUCAGCGGCGGACGGGUGAGUAAUGCCUAGGAAUCUGCCUGGUAGUGGGGGAUAACGUCCGGAAACGGGCGCUAAUACCGCAUAAGUCCUGAGGGCGAAAGUGGGGGAGCUUCGGACCUCACGCUAUCAGAUGAGCCUAGGUCGGAUUAGCUGGUUGGUGGGGUAAAGGCCUACCACGGCGACGAUCCGUAACUGGUCUGAGAGGAUGAUCAGUCACACUGGAGCUGAGACACGGUCCAGACUCCUACGGGAGGCAGCAGUGGGGAAUAUUGGACAAUGGGCGAAAGCCUGAUCCAGCGAUGCCGCGUGUGUGAAGAAGGUCUUCGGAUUGUAAAGCACUUUAAGUUGGGAGAAAGGGCAGUAAGUUAAUACCUUGCUGUUUUGACGUUACCAACAGAAUAAGCACCGGCUAACUUCGUG
rnacentral:rRNA from 1 species